rnacentral:lncRNA from 1 species
GUGCGUGUGUGUAAAGAAGGAGAUUAGGACAUUUAGAGAAGGAGGGCGGGGAGGAGAGAUCCUGAGAAUAGAAAGGAGGAAAGAAAAAAAGAGGAAUGGAAAGAGACAGAGAAAGGAAAUGGGAGUGGAAGGAGGGAGGACUGCUUUGUAACUGCUAAGAUUGCAGACAGAAAUAGCACACAACCACUGUGAGCUGUAUGCGAUUCAGAAACCAAGACCAAAUUUUGCUCACUUUCAUUAAUCAGUUGCUCAGAUAGAAGGAAAUGACAUCUGGUUCUGUCUUCUUCUACAUCUUAAUUUUUGGAAAAUAUUUACUUCCUCCUGAAGAAUGAACUUUCAAACUUUUUUAUUAACACUCCAUCUCCCACCUAGAAUCAAAUAGUAUUACAACAGCUGGUACUGCCUCUUCCUUCGACACAGAAGAAAACCUAAAAUCCAGUAAGACAGAGUGGCAUGCCAAAUUUGCCCAUCAAUUUAUUGGCACAUUCAAGAAUAAAGCAAAACUCUACUGAAUAUCGAUAUAGUAGUAUCUGCCUCUGAGGAUUCUUGGUGCAUAUUUUUGCAUUCUGCCAUGUUUCGUCCAUUUUGCCCCUACCUUGGGCAUUUAAAUAUAAAGAUUCCCAUGAGAUCGGAUCAAUUCAGCUGUUUAUUUCUAGAAAUGUCUAUAAAGAGAAGAACUAACAAGAGAACCAUCUUUUUAUUUUUUUAAUUUACUUCCUAAAUAUAAAUGAAGGAGAAUCUAGAACCACUGUCUUCAUUGGAAAUCAUUGUUCCAAAUGAACCGCAAGUCUGAGUUUAUAAAGCUGCCAUCUCCAAUAUGUCUGUUGAGAAAUAUGUCUAUUUACAUACAUCAUGUUUGUUUCUGACCUUGUGGGACAAUAACUUGGAAUGCCCUGAGCAACAAAAACAUAAAACACUCUGAUGAGACAGCAUCUCAUCCUUGCACUGAAGGAUUUCAAAAGAGGGACAGAUCACCCAGAAUGGACAUGGUCAUAGAGGAAUUUCUCAUGGGGGUGGACAGGAUGUCAAGUGCUCCCUUGGCUAUUUCCCCUGUGGGAACAUCACAAAGUGCUUGCCUCAGCUCCUGCACUGUAACGGUGUGGACGACUGCGGGAAUCAGGCCGAUGAGGACAACUGUGGAGACAACAAUGGAUGGUCUCUGCAAUUUGACAAAUAUUUUGCCAGUUACUACAAAAUGACUUCCCAAUAUCCUUUUGAGGCAGAAACACCUGAAUGUUUGGUCGGUUCUGUGCCAGUGCAAUGUCUUUGCCAAGGUCUGGAGCUUGACUGUGAUGAAACCAAUUUACGAGCUGUUCCAUCGGUUUCUUCAAAUGUGACUGCAAUGUCACUUCAGUGGAACUUAAUAAGAAAGCUUCCUCCUGAUUGCUUCAAGAAUUAUCAUGAUCUUCAGAAGCUGUACCUGCAAAACAAUAAGAUUACAUCCAUCUCCAUCUAUGCUUUCAGAGGACUGAAUAGCCUUACUAAACUGUAUCUCAGUCAUAACAGAAUAACCUUCCUGAAGCCGGGUGUUUUUGAAGAUCUUCACAGACUAGAAUGGCUGAUAAUUGAAGAUAAUCACCUCAGUCGAAUUUCCCCACCAACAUUUUAUGGACUAAAUUCUCUUAUUCUCUUAGUCCUGAUGAAUAACGUCCUCACCCGUUUACCUGAUAAACCUCUCUGUCAACACAUGCCAAGACUACAUUGGCUAGUGAUGAGGAAAAACAAAAUUAAUCACUUAAAUGAAAAUACUUUUGCACCUCUCCAGAAACUGGAUGAAUUGGAUUUAGGAAGUAAUAAGAUUGAAAAUCUUCCACCGCUUAUAUUCAAGGACCUGAAGGAGCUGUCACAAUUGAAUCUUUCCUAUAAUCCAAUCCAGAAAAUUCAAGCAAACCAAUUUGAUUAUCUUGUCAAACUCAAGUCUCUCAGCCUAGAAGGGAUUGAAAUUUCAAAUAUCCAACAAAGGAUGUUUAGACCUCUUAUGAAUCUCUCUCACAUAUAUUUUAAGAAAUUCCAGUACUGUGGGUAUGCACCACAUGUUCGCAGCUGUAAACCAAACACUGAUGGAAUUUCAUCUCUAGAGAAUCUCUUGGCAAGCAUUAUUCAGAGAGUAUUUGUCUGGGUUGUAUCUGCAGUUACCUGCUUUGGAAACAUUUUUGUCAUUUGCAUGCGACCUUAUAUCAGGUCUGAGAACAAGCUGUAUGCCAUGUCAAUCAUUUCUCUCUGCUGUGCCGACUGCUUAAUGGGAAUAUAUUUAUUCGUGAUCGGAGGCUUUGACCUAAAGUUUCGUGGAGAAUACAAUAAGCAUGCGCAGCUGUGGAUGGAGAGUACUCAUUGUCAGCUUGUAGGAUCUUUGGCCAUUCUGUCCACAGAAGUAUCAGUUUUACUGUUAACAUUUCUGACAUUGGAAAAAUACAUCUGCAUUGUCUAUCCUUUUAGAUGUGUGAGACCUGGAAAAUGCAGAACAAUUACAGUUCUGAUUCUCAUUUGGAUUACUGGUUUUAUAGUGGCUUUCAUUCCAUUGAGCAAUAAGGAAUUUUUCAAAAACUACUAUGGCACCAAUGGAGUAUGCUUCCCUCUUCAUUCAGAAGAUACAGAAAGUAUUGGAGCCCAGAUUUAUUCAGUGGCAAUUUUUCUUGGUAUUAAUUUGGCCGCAUUUAUCAUCAUAGUUUUUUCCUAUGGAAGCAUGUUUUAUAGUGUUCAUCAAAGUGCCAUAACAGCAACUGAAAUACGGAAUCAAGUUAAAAAAGAGAUGAUCCUUGCCAAACGUUUUUUCUUUAUAGUAUUUACUGAUGCAUUAUGCUGGAUACCCAUUUUUGUAGUGAAAUUUCUUUCACUGCUUCAGGUAGAAAUACCAGGUACCAUAACCUCUUGGGUAGUGAUUUUUAUUCUGCCCAUUAACAGUGCUUUGAACCCAAUUCUCUAUACUCUGACCACAAGACCAUUUAAAGAAAUGAUUCAUCGGUUUUGGUAUAACUACAGACAAAGAAAAUCUAUGGACAGCAAAGGUCAGAAAACAUAUGCUCCAUCAUUCAUCUGGGUGGAAAUGUGGCCACUGCAGGAGAUGCCACCUGAGUUAAUGAAGCCGGACCUUUUCACAUACCCCUGUGAAAUGUCACUGAUUUCUCAAUCAACGAGACUCAAUUCCUAUUCAUGACUGACUCUGAAAUUCAUUUCUUCGCAGAGAAUACUGUGGGGGUGCUUCAUGAGGGAUUUACUGGUAUGAAAUGAAUACCACAAAAUUAAUUUAUAAUAAUAGCUAAGAUAAAUAUUUUACAAGGACAUGAGGAAAAAUAAAAAUGACUAAUGCUCUUACAAAGGGAAGUAAUUAUAUCAAUAAUGUAUAUAUAUUAGUAGACAUUUUGCAUAAGAAAUUAAGAGAAAUCUACUUCAGUAACAUUCAUUCAUUUUUCUAACAUGCAUUUAUUGAGUACCCACUACUAUGUGCAUAGCAUUGCAAUAUAGUCCUGGAAGUAGACAGUGCAGAACCUUUCAAUCUGUAGAUGGUGUUUAAUGACAAAAGACUAUACAAAGUCCAUCUGCAGUUCCUAGUUUAAAGUAGAGCUUUACCUGUCAUGUGCAUCAGCAAGAAUCAUAGGCACUUUUAAAUAAAGGUUUAAAGUUUUGGAAUACUCAGUGUAUUUGCAUCAUAGAAAAUGUCUGACUGUUUGCAAAAUAAUAUUCUGUUUUAAGAAUCCAUCUUACCUCUCUUUAAGUUUCCAUACACUUGAGAGCCAACACAACAUAUUUAUUACUAAAAAGAUGCUUUGCUAGAAACUCAAAAACAGCACUUCUUUUGGCACUUCCUGCCCAGUUUUCUCUUUGCUUUAAAUGAACAUCAUCAUAUGGAAUUGGAAUAGGAGAGUAUGAGUACGGCAGAGAAGUGGAUCAGAAAAACUAGAAUGAGGAUAAACAUUUACAUUAGUGGAAACUCCUGAAAUAAAUCCUUGUAUUGUCAGUUAACUGAUUUUCAACAAGGAUGCCAAGACAAAAAGGCUUUUCAACAAACCGUGCUGUUUUAAGAACAGACCUAAGUGGUUUAAUUCACCCACUUUAGAUGGGUGAAUGUUAUGGUGUGUGAAAUAUCUCAGUAAAGCAGUUAAAAGGAAAAAGAGCUGGAAUGCACUGAUUCAGGAACUUAAUUUCAGGAAGGAAAGGUCUGUAUGUACACAUUUCACUUUAAGCAGAAAAUCUUUCUUCAAGAAAUGACUUUACUUUCUCUUUGCACUGCCAGCACGUGAGAUACUAACUUUUUAACUAGUUGUUCUUCUCUAGUCUCUACGUUAUUAGAAUUUUUUGCUUUCAUAAUGUGAAACCUUUAAGCAGGAGAAGAAAAUGUUUUCAGAUAGUUUCAAAUACACCAAAAAUGUUUGAAACACAAAAAUACUGGAAUCAAACCAUAAUGCACUUAUUGAAUAUAUAGUUGUAUAGAUUUGUUCUGAAAAUAAAUUAUCUGAAAUUUAACUAUUAA